rnacentral:rRNA from 1 species
CAGCCGCCGCGGUAAUACGGAGGGUGCAAGCGUUAAUCGGAAUUACUGGGCGUAAAGCGCACGCAGGCGGUCUGACAAGUCAGAUGUGAAAUCCCCGGGCUUAACCUGGGAACUGCAUUUGAAACUGUCAGGCUGGAGUCUUGUAGAGGGGGGUGGAAUUCCAGGUGUAGCGGUGAAAUGCGUAGAGAUCUGGAGGAAUACCGGUGGCGAAGGCGGCCCCCUGGACAAAGACUGACGCUCAGGUGCGAAAGCGUGGGGAGCAAACAGGAUUAUAUACCCGCGUAGUCCCUGUCUCUUAUAC